GUGCCAGCCGCCGCGGUAAUACGGAGGGUGCGAGCGUUAAUCGGAAUUACUGGGCGUAAAGCGCGCGUAGGUGGUUUGUUAAGUUGAAUGUGAAAUCCCCGGGCUCAACCUGGGAACUGCAUCCAAAACUGGCAAGCUAGAGUAUGGUAGAGGGUGGUGGAAUUUCCUGUGUAGCGGUGAAAUGCGUAGAUAUAGGAAGGAACACCAGUGGCGAAGGCGACCACCUGGACUGAUACUGACACUGAGGUGCGAAAGCGUGGGGAGCAAACAGGAUUAGAAACCCGAGUAGUCC
rnacentral:rRNA from 1 species